AAAAAUUAUCACGGAAAUUGAAGGAAGGGGCAUGGCAUUGAUUUAUUCUACAGAGUCACGCACAUUUAGUUCAAUAAUUGUUUUCAUCCGAAUCAAAAUCUCUCGCUAAUCAAUUCAACUGUUUCUGUUGAUUAUGGCUUCUUCUUCUCGAAACAACAAGCAGUGUGAUGUUUUUGUUAGUUUCAGAGGAGUGGACACCCGCGACAACCUUACUAGCCAUCUCUAUUCUGCUCUGUGUCGACAAAAUAUCCAAACUUUCAUUGAUGACCAACUUAACAGAGGAGAUGAAAUUUCGGAGUCUCUUGUGAAUGCAAUUGAAGCAUCAGCCAUUUCAGUUAUCGUCUUCUCAGAAGGGUAUGCAUCUUCCAGAUGGUGUCUCGAUGAACUUGUAAAGAUCCUCGACUGCAAGAAGGAGUAUGCACAGAUUGUGAUUCCGGUUUUCUAUCGGGUUGAUCCAUCAGACAUGAGAAACCAAACUGGGAGUUUUGGAGAUUCAUUUUCGAAUCUUGAAGAAAGAUUAAAGGAGAAUACUGAGAAGCUGCAGAGUUGCAGGAAUGCUUUGGAGGAAGCAGCAAGUUUGUGUGGAUUUCAUUCUCCUAACAUCAGGUGAAAAGUUAAACCUUUAAUUUCUCAUACUAAUAUUUAACAAUAAAUAAAAUUCACGCAGCACUCUUAGUUAAAUUUCCGGAUGCUAAACUACAAUUUUAAAAAUUUUUAAGCAUCAAAUUCUAGACUUCCUGACUUCCCCACUUUUGUGCUCUCAUAAUUAUAAAAUAAUUGUGACAGAAUUAAUAAUAAAAGCUCGAGAAUUUUACAAUAUAUAUGUAACAAAAUUAGGGGUGGUCUGUCGUUUUUUAAGCAAUUUCAACCUCUCACUCAGAUACCACCAUUAGAACGAAAAAAAAAAAAACUCACGCAUAUUCCUGUAAUUUAAGAGUUAUUAAUUUACUGGAGAUUGUAGACUAGUGGUGGUAUAUAUUAAUUUCAAUAAGAAAACUGACAAUCUCCCUUACUUCAUACUUAAUACAAAUUCCUCGUAUUAAUUUGAAGUUACUUUGGCUAAUUUUAUGUAUUUGCUAGGUGUGAGUCGGAACUUACAAAUGAAGUUGUUAAUCACAUUUUGAAGAGAUUGGAUGAAGUGAUUCAGCCCCGUGAUAACAAAAACCAGCUGGUUGGAGUGGAAUCAACAGUUGAGGAAAUUGAAUCCCUAUUAGGUGUUGAGUCGAAAGAUGUUUACGCUUUAGGGAUUUGGGGCAUUGGUGGUAUAGGCAAAACAGCAAUUGCUAGAGCUAUUUUCGACAAAAUCUCGGGUGAUUUUGAAGGUUCUUGCUUCCUCGAAAAUGUUAGAGAUGAGUCACAAAGACCAGGAGGAUUAGCUUGCUUAUGACAAAAACUUCUUUCAAAUUUAUUGAAGGAUAAAAAUGUGAUGCCUUAUGUUGAUGCUGAAAUCUGCUCGCCCUUGGACCGACCAGAUUCUUUCACCAACGUUUAUAUUAUCCACUGCUGCUCGAACCACUGGGGUUGGAAUCACUCUCCUCUUCCUUACUAGACCUGCGUUCACCAAAAACAGAUCAGAGACGCCGGUGGUUUUGCCGGCAUAAACCCUCUGAUGCCUAAGUUAGCACAAGGUGUUUACGGGAAAACAGUUAAAUUUUGAUUCAAGAGUGGCUCUAAUUUGCUCGAAGUUUUUAAUAAAAUUGUCUGGUUUCAAUUUGGCAGCGUUUUCCCUCUCUUAGUUUUUCUAUCCCUUUCUUCAUCGAUUUCUCUCCCUUUUAUAGCCGCCCCCUGUCUCACGUUUUCCGUUUAUCCUUCAUCACCCCUUUUUCGGGUGGUGGCAGCCCCUCAUGGGGCUCUAACUGUUACAUUGUGGGCAAACGUGGGUCUCGCGUGUCCUUCAACGGUUCUGGGAAAAGCGCAACUACCGCGAUUUUGUGGGAUCGUGUUCCCGCUUUCUUGGGGAUGAGUAUCGGCUCGGUAUAUACCUAUGGUCGGUAUGUUUUCCUGGUUGUACUCAUUUCUGGUCGGCUCAUGUUUGCCCCCGUGUUCUGCUCGCAUCACUCGGUUGAAGCGAUCCGUGCUGGGGUGGAAACAAUAGCAUGGCCGACCUGGUGCUUUUAUGUACUCAACACAUAUUGACCUCAAUUUUAGAAGGCUCAGCCGCAUGAAGGUUUUGAUUGUUUUUGAUGAUGUGAUUUGCUUCAGCCAAUUAGAAUCUUUAAUUGGAAGUCUUGAUUGGUUGACGCCUGUGAGUUGAAUCAUAAUAACCACUAGAAAUAAACAAGUGCUUAGAAAUUGGGGGGUGAGGAAAAUAUAUGAGAUGAAGGCAUUAGAAUAUCAUCACGCUAUUGAGCCUUUUAGUCGACAUGCCUUCAAACAAAACCAUCCUGAUGUUGGUUAUGAGGAACUUUCAAGCAAAGUAAUGAAAUAUGCUCAAGGUGUUCCUUUAGCUCUUAAAGUUUUGGGUUGCUUUCUACAUAAAAGGGAAAAAGAAGUCCGGGAAAGCGCAAUAGAUAAAUUGCAAGAAUCCUCCAUCCAAGUAUUCUUGAGGUAUUAAAAAUAAGUUAUGAUAGUUUGGACGAAGUGUCUAAUAGCGACAAAAAUUUGUCUUGGUGGGGCUGAAGUGUUAUUCACUAGUGGAAUAUAAAUAUCAUUUUUCAUUUGAUAUUAACUUUAUUGAUUUUUCUAUUUAUUUUUGGGGACAGAAAAAAUUGUGGGCAUCUGUUUGGAUAUGUCAAAAGUAAAAGAGAUCCAUCUAAAUCCCAGUGCGUUCGCAAAGAUGCAUAAAUUGAGAUUUUUAAAAUUCUAUAGUUCAUCAUUCAAUGGGGAGAACAAAUGCAAGGUGUCUCAUUUGCAAGACCUCAUAUUUGCUGAAGUGAAAUAUCUUCACUGGCAUGGAUAUCCGUUGAAGUCAUUGCCUUCAAACCUUAGUGCAGAGAAGCUUGUGUUUCUUGAAGUGCCUAAUAGCGACAUUGAACAAUUUUGGAAUGGUGUGAAGGUAUGUUUAUCUUAAUGUAUAUGUGCAAUAUAUCAAUAAGAACAUUAAAUUAUCAUGCACAGUAAUGAUUUUAUCUUUGCCUCUUUUUUGACCGAGCAGCAUUAUAGUAAGUUAAACCAGCUAAUCCAUGCUGCCUGCAAGAAGCUAAUUGCCAAAACUCUAAACCCCACGUGGAUUCCACAUCUGAACAAGCUAGUUAUCUUGAAUCUAAGCGGUAGCAAGAGCCUUAAAAGUCUUCCAGCUGGAAUAUUUAAUUUGGAAUUUCUUACCGAACUUGAUCGUUCGGGUUGUUCAAAGCUGAAGAGGCUUCCAGAGAUCUCAUCUGGUAACAUAGGCCGGCUAUUUUUAAGUGGAACUGCAAUUGAAGAACUGCCCUCAUCAUUUGAGCUUCUACUUAGGCUUUGGUUGUUAGACCUUUCAGAUUGUAAAAGGCUUAAGAGUCUCCCAAGCAGCCUCUGUAAGUUGAAGUCUCUUGAACUUCUUAGUCUCCGUGGUUGCUCAAAUCUUCAGAGAUUGCCAGAAUGGCUUGGCCAGUUAUCGUCGCCACUAAUAGUGAAUCUAUUGAAAACCAAUAUUGAGAGAAUACCAGAAAGCAUUAUCUAACAAUUUAUGUUGCGAUACAUCCUCUUAGAUUAUUGUGAGGGGCUUCAAUCCUUACCAAAGCCUCUAUUCCUUGUACGAUGGUUAGAUGCCGAUCAUUACUCGGCACCACAAUCAUUAACAGGUUUGUUCUCUAAGUUCUGAAUCUUAUGGGCAAUGUUUUUUUACUAGAGCAAUAAUUUUUAAUUGGAAGGUAAUUCUACUGCAGAAAUUAUUCAAGAUGCCUUGAGAAUUCAAUAUAUGGGUCAUGUGGUAGUGGUACCUUCCCGUUGGAAAGAAGUACGGGAAAAGGUGUGUCUUAAUUCUUUCUCCUUACAAUUUAUACCUUUUUUUUGGGUUUGAAAUUUUGAUCUUUUGGUAUAGAGAGGUUUUUCCAAGGAAGGCCAUUACGUACUAGCUGGGAAUGAAAUUCCAAGGUGGUUUAAUUUUCAAAGUGUGGGAUCUUUUAUAACGUUAGAGAUGCCCCCAGAUUUCUUCAAUCACAACAGAGUACUGGGCUUUGCAUUUGGUGCCAUUUUAGGAUUUCCAGGCCGUCAUGUAGGUUGUGGCAGAUGGUUUUCAUUUUCUUGUGAGCUCAAAGUGGAAACCACCAAAGAUUGUGAUCUGCAUGACACACUGUUAUUUCAAAGAAGAGUUAAUUAUUUAGAAUCAGAUCACUUACAUUUGGGAUACUAUUUGUUCUAUGAAGAGGAUUUUAAUGGGUUUUGGAAAUGCAAUUGCUUUCCUGAGACAAUCCACUUUAAUGUUUUUCCACCUUUGGAGUGUGAGUGUUGCGGAGUGAAAAAAUGUGGGAUCCAUUUUUUUGGCAUUGCGGACUCUACGAAUUCAAUAGAAGACCCAAGCAGAUGUUUCAAAUAUAACGAAGAAGACUGAGAUUUUCAUGAAUGUAUUUUUAUUGUUUUCCUUUUUCAAAUCACUAUUAAUAAUAGGAGAAAAUGCCAAAAUCAGUUCUUGGAACAAAACAUUCAUGUUAUAACUUUUGACGGAUCUGGUGCGUGUAACACAAAUUCACACUAGAGUAUUGAACUAUACUCUAAUUUACCUUAUUAGGUGAGUAUUGAACUUUACCUUAUUAGGUGAAGAGUGUAAUGUAUGAAAAGCACAUGAUGUAUAUUGUAAAAUUAAAACUAUUGGCCUUCUUUCUUGCUCUGCACACACCACCCACAACGAUUUGUUAUUGGACUUUGCAACCCAAAACACAUCUACUUAAGUGAGCAUGUGACUUAUAAACUAGUGAAAAAACUCAUUUGCCAGCGGCAUGGAAUAUUACAGGACGCGCAACGAGUUCUUACAGAGUAUGUUGUUGGCCCAUAUCUCAACCAAUGAACACAUGCCACUCAUCCCAUUGCGUACUACAUCAACUCUCCUGUAUAUAACGCAAGUCUGGUGUUCAUGUGGAAUUUUCAGCUAGAAGUCUACAAAGCAGUGGAAUUAAUCAAUCAUCGUGGAGUGCACGGUACUUGGACAAUGAGACGAAAUUGAAAAACUAUCACGGAACUUGAAGGAAGGCUCAUGGCAUCGAUUUAUUCUACAGAGUCACGCACAUUUGGUUCAAUAAUUGUUUUCAUCCGAAUCAAAAUCUCUCUCUAAUCAAUUCAACUGUUUCUGUUGAUUAUGGCUUCUUCUUCACGAAACAACAAGAAGUAUGAUGUUUUUGUUAGUUUCAGAGGAGAGGACACCCGCGACAACUUUACUAGCCAUCUCUAUUCUGCUCUGUGUCGACAAAAUAUCCAAACUUUCAUUGAUGACCAACUUAACAGAGGAGAUGAAAUUUCGGAGUCACUUGUGAAUGCAAUAGAAGCAUCAGCCAUUCCAGUUAUCGUCUUCUCAGAAGGGUAUGCAUCUUCCAGAUGGUGUCUUGAUGAACUUGUAAAGAUCCUCGAGUGCAAGAAGGAGUAUGCACAGAUUGUGAUUCCGGUUUUCUAUCGGG
rnacentral:lncRNA from 1 species